AAACUGUGUUGUGGGCAUGAACUGACGAAAUCCUUAAACCACUCCCAACAUUAGAAGAAUGUUUCAUCUUCUUUUUGGGUGAAGUUUAUGAUCGACUUCCUGAUGGU